GAACCAAUAUUAGUCCAACCAAUACCAAACACAACUUAACCAAACCAAUAAAACAAAACAUUUAAACUUACCAGUAUAGGCGAUAGAAAAUUUAACUUGGCACUAUAGAGAAAGUACCGUAAGGGAACCAUGAAAGAAUAAAUUAAAGUACAAAAAAGCAAAGAUUACACCUUUUACCUUUUGCAUAAUGAUUUAACUAGACUUAAUUAGCAAAAAGAAUUUAAGUUAAUAACCCCGAAACCAGACGAGCUACCCACGAGCAGCUUAUAGAGCACACUCAUCUAUGUAGCAAAAUAGUGAGAAGACUUAUGGGUAGAGGUGACAAGCCUAACGAGCCUGGUGAUAGCUGGUUAUCCAGAAACAGAAUUUAAGUUCUAAUUUAAACUUACCAAAAAAACAUUCAAUUCUAAUGUAAGUUUAAAGAAUAGUCUAAAAGGGUACAGCCUUUUAGACACAGGAAACAACCUUGACUAGAGAGUAAUAAUUAAAUUUACCAUAGUAGGCCUAAAAGCAGCCAUCAAUUAAGAAAGCGUUCAAGCUCAACAAUAUAACACAACUUAAUCCCAAUAAUAAUUAUACAACUCCUAGCUUCACUACUGGAUCAAUCUAUUUAUAAAUAGAAGAGAUACUGUUAAUAUGAGUAAUAAGAAAUAUAUUCUCCCUGCAUAAGUGUAUAUCAGAACGAAUAAAUCACUGAUAGUUAACAGAACAUAACAUAACCAACAGAUAAACCUAUUAUACAAUAUACUGUUAACCCAACACAGGAAUGCUCUACGGGAAAGAUUAAAAAAAGUAAAAGGAACUCGGCAAAUACAAACCCCGCCUGUUUACCAAAAACAUCACCUCUAGCAUCAAUAGUAUUAGAGGCACUGCCUGCCCAGUGACAUUAGUUUAACGGCCGCGGUAUCCUGACCGUGCAAAGGUAGCAUAAUCACUUGUUCUCUAAAUAAGGACUGGUAUGAAUGGCCACACGAGGGUUUUACUGUCUCUUACUUUCAAUCAAUGAAAUUGACCUUCCCGUGAAGAGGCGGGAAUAAACAAAUAAGACGAGAAGACCCUAUGGAGCUUUAAUUAACUAAUUUAUGAGAAAUAAUCCACAACCACCAAGGGACAACAUGCCUUCUCAUAUAAACUAGCAAUUUAGGUUGGGGUGACCUCGGAAUAUAAAAAAACUUCCGAGUGAUUUUAGCCUAGACUUACCAGUCAAAGCAACAAAAUCAUUUAUUGAUCCAAAAUUUUUGAUCAACGGAACAAGUUACCCUAGGGAUAACAGCGCAAUCCUAUUCAAGAGUUCCUAUCGACAAUAGGGUUUACGACCUCGAUGUUGGAUCAGGACAUCCCAAUGGUGCAACCGCUAUUAAUGGUUCGUUUGUUCAACGAUUAAAGUCCUACGUGAUCUGAGUUCAGACCGGAGUAAUCCAGGUCGGUUUCUAUCUAUUAUAUAUUUCUCCCAGUACGAAAGGACCAGAGAAAUAAGGCCCACUUCAAAAAAGCGCCUUAACUAUGAACAGAUGACAUAAUCUCAAUCUGCAAGUAUAUAUAUAUAUAUAUAAUCCAGCCCAAGAACAGGGCUU
rnacentral:rRNA from 1 species